UUAAUGGUGGGCGUGCGUGGGGCACCUCCGGGUGCGCCGGGUUCCUAGAGUCCCGGUCCGUCAACCUGCGCACGGCCACCACCCU
rnacentral:antisense_RNA from 1 species